rnacentral:lncRNA from 1 species
UGUUUUGUGUCUGAGUGAGUUCCUCUCCUCCUCCCCUUUUCUCUUUAGAGUUUUGGGGGUAUUUAUAGAUGAAGUUUGAUGUUACCUGACGCGGUUGUCUGCAGGGUAGGAUUGUACCUUUGGUGGCGUGGGAGGCCGAGCUGCUGCAGGGUAUGGCGUGCCUCGGGCAGCGUGUCGCUCAGGGGGUUGCUGUCAUGGCGUGUCACAUCGCCAUUUUUACCCCUAUCAGUACACACUCAGAGGCUCUUCUUCUGCCUCAUCCACAAUCCCCUCCACAUCUUUCUCUAAUUUGAUCGUCGGAGGGGUCGGGCCGAGCUCCCGGCCCGACCUGUGUGCAGGUGCGAGACGGUGUCGCCUCUUCCUGAAGCUGCGGCAGAGCUGCCUCCCGACCCGAACCGCCGACCCGAAUUGCCGAACCGACCUCCCGACCCGAACCACCGAGCUCGGCCGCUGGGAGACCCCGAGGGACGCCGCCCGAGAUCCCCGACAUCCGGACCCCCGAACCAAGCCGCGACGGCCCCGAGGCCACGG